GGACCCGCACAAGUAGUGGAGCAUGUGGUUUAAUUCGAAGAUACGCGCAGAACCUUACCAACACUUGACAUGUUCGUCGCGACUUUAAGAGAUUAAAGUUUUCGGUUCGGCCGGACGAAACACAGGUGCUGCAUGGCUGUCGUCAGCUCGUGUCGUGAGAUGUUGGUUAAGUCCCGCAACGAGCGCAACCCUCACUUUUAGUUGCCAUCAUUAAGUUGGGCACUCUAUGGAAACUGCCCGUGAUAAGCGGGAGGAAGGUGUGGAUGACGUCAAGUCCUCAUGGCCUUACGGGUUGGGCUACACACGUGCUACAAUGGUAGUGACAAUGGGUUAAUCCCAAAAAGCUAUCUCAGUUCG
rnacentral:rRNA from 1 species